GCCUUGGUAGCACAGUGGUUUUAGUGCUUGGCUGCUAACCGACAGGUUGGAGGUUUGAACUCAUCCCGAGGCU
rnacentral:tRNA from 1 species